rnacentral:lncRNA from 1 species
CGGAUAUUCAUGGAGGGUGACGUCCAGUAGGGAGCAGCACACGUUGACUGAUUUUCUCGGGAGAACAAAAAGCUCAUUUUUUUCUUUUGCUAGAAGCCAGGCACACAUUGUGAUCUUCUUACAUUCACGCUGGAACCAAAUGAAAUAUUUAUAUUUUACAUGCUGAACACUUUCAUCUUGAAUGCUAGCUAAUGUUUUAAAGUUAUUUCACUGAUUCUUCGUUCACGGACUUCAACAUACAUAGCAUUUUGGUUCAACUUUUUUUCCUUGUUCCCGCAUCCUUU